rnacentral:rRNA from 1 species
CGGAUUUAUUGGGUUUAAAGGGUGCGCAGGCGGGGAAUUAGGUCGGCGGUGAAAUUUCGGGGCUCAACCUCGACAGUGCCGUUGAAACCGUUUCUCUUGAGUGCGGAUGAGGUAGGCGGAAUUUGUGGUGUAGCGGUGAAAUGCGUAGAUAUCACAAGGAACACCGAUUGCGGAGGCAGCUUACUAAACCGUUACUGACGCUCAUGCACGAAGGCGUGGGGAUCAAACAGGAUUAGAUACCCUGGUAGUCCACGCAGUAAACGAUGAUUACUCGCUGUUUGCGAUACACAGUAAGCGGCGAAGCGAAAGCGUUAAGUAAUCCACCUGGGGAGUACGUUCGCAAGAAUGAAACUCAAAGGAAUUGACGGGGGCCCGCACAAGCGGAGGAACAUGUGGUUUAAUUCGAUGAUACGCGAGGAACCUUACC